UCUGCGUAAAUGGUAAACAAAAGCAGAUAUGACGCAGUCAAGGUUUCCUCCAUUGGACUCGCAAAGGAGGAUGUGAAAGGAAAGCUGCUAGCCUAGGAAAUCAAAGUUGAAAACUGUAGACGUUGGCAGAGCUCCUUCCAGCUUUCUGACAAGUAACCUCUGGCUGUUUCGGGGUUGCUCUAUAAAGGGGGAACUCUGGCUGGAAGCACGGCUUGAGACUGUGUGCAGAGGUGCCGAUUUCCCUCUGUAGCCUGGCCAGCUGUCCUGUGGGCGAGUGGUUAGUCCCUUCUGCAUCCAGGCUGCUUUCCACUGUGGAGAACUAGACUUCCCUUCAGGUCUUCGGGUGUCUCAUUGUCUAGAUCAGCACCAUCCAAUAGAAAUAUAAUGUGAGCCACAUUUGUUUUUUUAAAACUUCCUGGAAACUACAUUAAAAAAAAGUGAAAAGAAACAUGAAGUUAUUUUUAAUAAUACAUUGUCUUUAACCCAGUGUACCUAUAAUGUUCUUGUUUCAACGUGUAGUUAACAUUAAAAUAUUAUUGACGUUA